rnacentral:misc_RNA from 1 species
AUGAAGAACGUAGCGAACUGCGAUAAGUAAUGUGAAUUGCAGAAUUCAGUGAAUCAUCGAGUCUUUGAACGCACAUUGCGCCCCCUGGCAUUCCGGGGGGCAUGCCUGUCCGAGCGUCAUUGCUGCCCUUCAAGCCCGGCUUGUGUGUUGGGUCGUCGUCCCCCCCGGGGGACGGGCCCGAAAGGCAGCGGCGGCACCGCGUCCGGUCCUCGAGCGUAUGGGGCUUUGUCACCCGCUCGAUUAGGGCCGGCCGGGCGCCAGCCGGCGUCUCCAACCUUUUAUUUUACCAGGUUGACCUCGGAUCAGGUAGGGAUACCCGCUGAACUUAAGCAUAUCAAUAAGCGGAGGA